rnacentral:rRNA from 1 species
GAGUUUGAUCCUUCCUCAGAUUGAACGCUGGCGGAAUGCUUUACACAUGCAAGUCGAACGGGCUUAAGGGGCUUGCUCCUUAAGUUAGUGGCGAACGGGUGAGUAAUAUAUCGGAACGUAUCCAAUAAUGGGGGAUAACUAAGCGAAAGCUUGGCUAAUACCGCAUACGCCCUACGGGGGAAAGCUAGGGACCUUCGGGCCUGGCGUUAAUGGAGCGGCCGAUAUCUGAUUAGCUAGUUGGUGAGGUAAAGGCUCACCAAGGCUUCGAUCAGUAGCUGGUCUGAGAGGACGACCAGCCACACUGGAACUGAGACACGGUCCAGACUCCUACGGGAGGCAGCAGUGGGGAAUUUUGGACAAUGGGCGCAAGCCUGAUCCAGCCAUUCCGCGUGAGUGAAGAAGGCCUUCGGGUUGUAAAGCUCUUUCGCAAGGGAAGAACACUUAGUCUCUAACAUAGACUGAGGUUGACGGUACCUUGAUAAGAAGCACCGGCUAACUACGUGCCAGCAGCCGCGGUAAUACGUAGGGUGCGAGCGUUAAUCGGAAUUACUGGGCGUAAAGCGUGCGCAGGCUGUUUUGUAAGUCAGAUGUGAAAUCCCCGAGCUCAACUUGGGAACUGCGUUUGAAACUACAAGACUAGAAUAUGUCAGAGGGGGGUAGAAUUCCACGUGUAGCAGUGAAAUGCGUAGAGAUGUGGAGGAAUACCAAUGGCGAAGGCAGCCCCCUGGGAUAAUAUUGACGCUCAUGCACGAAAGCGUGGGGAGCAAACAGGAUUAGAUACCCUGGUAGUCCACGCCCUAAACGAUGUCAAUUAGCUGUUGGGGGUUAGAAUCCUUGGUAGCGUAGCUAACGCGUGAAAUUGACCGCCUGGGGAGUACGGC